UUCAUCUUCUUCCUUGGCUUCUUUCUUCUCGUGAUGCUCGUGGAACGCGAACCCGCCAGCUCCCACUGCAGCAGCCGCGGCAAUCUCUUCUUCUAUCUUGUGCUUGUGGGCAUGCUCAGGGUCUUUCUCCGACUUGUGCUUCUCAUGCUAUAAUUCAAGCAUCAUCAAGACGAUAAGAAAUAGUUCCUUUGUAUAAAAUUAAUUAAAACAAAAAUAUUUUCAAACUUCAUGACACACGGGGCAUUACCAAGGCGUAAGCGCCAGCAGCAGCGACGCCGAGCUCGCCGAGGUGCUCGAGAUGCUUGUGGUGCUUCUCCUCCUUCCUGUAGUCAGGGCCUGGGUCAUCUGCUAACACUUCGGUGGUUUCGGCAGCGUAGCCGCUGACACCAUCGGUAGCAUAGCUGGUGUCGGAGUAGGUGGUGUCGGAGUAGGGAACGGCGUCGUCAACAGGCUUGUCCUUGUGGUGGAAGAGGUGGUGGUGAUGCUUCUCCUCCGACAUGGUGGUGGUGAUCAAAUUAGCUGCAGAAACGAGAGAGGAAGAUGGUUUGUGAACUGUGAAGGUGUGAUGUGGGAGAGUGCAGUGGUGGGUGGUGGGGUAUUUAUAAAUGCUGGUUGCGAAGGUGUCCAAAGAUCGUGGGAGAGAUGAAUGGGUAUUGGGAAUGGCCCGAAUGGGUGGGGCCUCACCAUUCACCAUUCUUAUCUACAUUUUUCAAAUCUCGAUGGCUCCUACUCUGUCGAUACUUUGUUUUUGUGUCGGCAAUUUCAUUGGAUCUUUAACCACGACAUUUUUUAACCACAUUUUUAGAUUUCCGUGAUAUUAUCAUAAUUGUUUUUGUUAGUCAUUCGUUGGAUUUAUUUCAAAAGUAGGAAAAUGUUUGAAAAAUAUACAUCAUCAUUUGCGUCUUUGAUCCACUCUCAAUAGGAAAUAAAUAAAUAAGAAAAGAAAACCACAAAGUCUCAGGUAGCAAAGAGUCCAUAUCAAAGUAUCAAACCUUUUUAUCGAUGAAUAUUUUUAGGAAGAACAAUCUAUUAUUUGUAAAAUAAUUUUUAUAUAUUGAGUGAUAACCCUUCAAUUCGAUAUCGUUAGAUCAUUAAGGUCGGCUUUUGUCCCUAUUCGACGGGUGGAUCUUGUAGUCAAACUCCCUUUUACCUUUGCACUCAAGGUCCAUCUUUGUUUUGCUUGAGAAAACCUUUGUUAAUUUCCAUUACCUUUUGAGAGACUUACGCUCUAUAAAAAUUAUUUAUCUAUUCCUUGACGAGGAAAUUCAAAUUCUUUUACUUAAAUUUAUUUUAUAAAACAUUAAAAAAGGUUAAAUAUAAUAAAAUUAUUAAAAAUUUGAAUUUAAGAAAUCAUUUAUUUUUUAAAUUUUGACAUGAACAUAUAUGGGUAAAAAACAAAAAGAGACAAAAACAAAAUAUGUUUUUUUGUGCAGUAAUCAAUUAAAAAAUCACUUUCAAUUUAAUAAAAGAUGUAAUUUUUAAUAUUAAAGCUUAGAGAAAAAAGAAUUGACUUGAUUGGAAUGAAUUACAAAAAUCACACCCCAAUGAAGAGGAACCCCAUACAGCACCUCCUUUCCUUUUCAUAAAGCAAAGACCUUUCAUCAGUAGGCAUGUGAAGGAGGGAAAUGAACUUGGCAGAUUCCACCUUAAAGUGCUAAAACAUGGCACUUGCCCCUCUUUCUAAUCAAACUUAACCCCACCUACAUUAUCUACAUUAUUUAUUGUACAUUAUCUUUCUCCAACUAAUACUAGUAUUUCACAUCUCACAAUUUUUUUAUUCUAUUGGAUGUGAGUCUAUUAUUGCAGUUAGGUCAGCUAAUCAGGAUCCCAUGGAUAAGGUGCCACAUAUUAAUAUUUUAGCCUUUUAGGUGUUGCUAUUCAUCCUCCUUUAUGACUUGGGCUCCAUUUCUUUGCUUGAACCUCACUUUUAGGGUAAUUUCUUUUCUUGGACUAUUAGUUUAUUUGUUGCACAUAAAAAGGCCACUUUAAUGGCCGUCAAACUUUGAUAAAAUAUGUCUUAUUUUGUACUUUAAGGUGGUGUUUAUUUUUUAAUUGAAUAAAAAAAAAAUAAAAAUAUUUGAUUUUUUCUAUUUAAUUAAAAGUAAUUUGUUGAGAUCGUUCAAUGUAACUAAAAUGAACUUGUUAUCAAUAAAUUUACUUUAGUUAUGUUAGACAAUAUUAAUAGGUUACUUUUAAUUGAAUAGAAAUAAAAGUCAUUUUAAUUAUAUUGGACAAUAUUAACAAGUUAUUUUUAGUUGAAUAGAAAAAACUAAAUAUUUUAAUUUUUUUUAUUCAGUCAAAAAACAAACAUCACCUAUAAAAAUUGAUAACUUUUAUAUAUUUGUACUAUGGUAGAUGGGCUUGGCCCACUUGGGCGUAGGGUAGAUAUUUGAAUUUUGAACAGAAAAAAAAAAAAGGGAAAAAAGGAAAAAAGGAAAGGGGAAAGAGAAGGAGAAGAUAAAUCAAUAAAUCAUAAAAGCAGGAAGGAGAGGUGGAAAAUGGUCCUCUGGUCUGGACCAGGAGAAAGUGGCCGGUGAUGGGGCCCAUUGGGUCUGUGUCGGCAAGGCCCCAUUUAUUUCGGCAUCAAUAUACCUGCCUGAUUGGUUCCAUGCCUGCCAUAUGUUUACGCUUUUGUCAAUUAUUAUAAAAAACAACUUCUUUGUCAAUAAACUCUUUAAUUUUUACUUCUCUAUCGUCUUUAAUGGGUGUGAAAAAAGUCAUACAUGCCUAUUGUAUUCUUCUCCUUUUUAGUAGGUAAAAACCUACAGGCUAUCCCUAAACUGAAUUUUAUAAUAUUUCAGAAAAUAUGAAAUUUAUUUUUAAUUAAUAAAAAUUUGGAUUAAAUAUCAAUCAUAAUUUCAUAACUGAUAUGGCCGGUGAUAAAGAACGAGUGAGUCACGCUAGGGCCACGGAUGUAUCACAUUCAUGGUGUGCCUGGGCUUAGUGGUUGAUGUGAAAUAGAUAUAGGUGUAGCGCAUAGUGUAAACGGGCCCAGGGAAAUUCAAAAUCGCGUUGCCACGUUCCAUAGAAAGGACAAGAAAUUAGAAGCUGGGAGUGGUCCACGUCUUCCAGGUAACCCCCACGCUGCUAACGAUUAUUCAAUGCCUUCCUACUCCAAAUCAAACCUAAUGUUCAACAUCGACAUGUCUCAUAUGACACAUCCUUAUAGAUGAAGUUGGUGAACUGUGGAGAAGAGAGAGUAAGGGCGUGUGAGCGGAGAUAAUUCACAAUUGAUUGGCAGGUUUCGGAUAUUUUCUUCGGCUUUGUCCUGGGUUUUUGGAAAGGUUUGAUUGGCCCGACCCAAUCCUACAACCCAUACUAAACCACACAAUCGAAUCCUACGAGAGACCAAACCCAACCUUAAAUCAAGUUCCUCAUUAUGGGCUUCAUAGCCCAACUUAGCACUCCAGCCCAUCCUAACAUUGGGAAAAAUAAAUUAAUGAAAAUUAAGACUAGAUAUGAAUAAUUUCUUUUAUUAUCUUAAACUGCUGAAAGGGAUUAGUUAUCCUACACAGCUUGAACAGAAAAAGAGCCCUCUAAAACUCACCUACUUGAGAUUUAAGGCAUAAAAAAGUCCUUACCUUAAUAAUUGUAAGAGAUCGUUGGAUCAAAUGAUUCAAAUCUGGGACUUGCUCACACAAUCAAUCCAUUUCAUGAGACGAAUUACCAGUGAGGCUCUCUUCACCAUCUACAAGAUUUCGGAUGUAGCGAGUCAAGUAAGAACUUGGACCAUAGCAAAUGCUUGAUAAAAACCCUCCAUACAGUAAGCAAUGGAUGCCAAGCUUAAACAGAUUUUUCCUCUCUUGGUUGGUGUCUCUCUGUGCUUCAUACCCACCAGUACUUUCUUCAUCCCAACUCGAAGAAUCCAUGGCAGUGCAGCCUGAAUGAGCCUGAAAACCCCAGAUCUUGGAAGUUUCCAUCUUUUGCAGCCAGUUGGAAUCAAUGGGAUCUUUAAAUUUUUUACAAAGAUGGUGUCCCUGGAUCAGAAAACUCCAAACUUUUGGUGUAAUACUUGAGACACAGUUAAGGAACUGCUUAGAUAUGUUCUCCAAUCCUCCAUUAUGAGCUUGACUCCCAAAAAAAUUGGCCUCGAAUUCAUCUGCUAGUGAGCACUCAUUGCAUUUAUGACUCUGAAGAGACGAAAGAUUUAGAACAGGCAACCUCCCUUUCACAAAGGAAUUCAAUAGUGAGCUUCUAGCAAGACUUAAAAGGGACUCCCCAGCAUUCAUCCAGAAGUUUGCAAUUGAUGCGAUCAAAGAAGAGUCAGAGAGGAAAAUACGGUGGGUUGCACCUGCAAGCAACAAGGAGUAUGCUGCACUGGUCUUGAUCAAGCUCAAGGCUUCCAGCUCAUCUCCGUCCAUUUCAGAAUGCAGAUCCAGUAAUUGACUAGCACGGACUCUGUAUGCAGAAGCCAGUGUUGUGUAGGCGGCCAAAGAGAGAUGGUGCAGGGGGUGCAACUUGAAAUUUGCUUGUGAUUUUCCCUCAAUUGGUUCUAACUGCUCAUCUGGAAGACCUUGAGCAAUAACAUUCUCAAGCUUCUCACAGCAAGCUUCAGGGUUGCCAACUGACAAAUAGUCAGCUAUAGCAUCAUCUACAUAAUCAGUCAACUUUCUGAUUUCCUCCUCUCUACACAUGUUAUCAUCUAUGUAAUUGAGACUAUGAGCCAAAGUUUCCUAUAGGGAAGAACAGAGAAAUGUCAAUCCUUGUUUUAUGACAGUACUAGAAUUCAGGCACUUCAAUUGCAGAUUAAAAAAUGCUUGUGAAGUUCAGACUUCAGAGUUGAUACAGAAAUAUUGUGAGUACUUCACCGUACAAAGUGGCCCCCGAAAAAUAACCAGAGUGGACAAGGGAAAGGAUAAAACAGGAUGAGAAAAGCUACUAUGAAUUACUCAAUAGCUUUUCCUAGUUCCAAUUGAUAUGGAGAAAAAGACUCCAACUGUCUGUCAGCCUUUUGAGAAGGAAAAAGCAGAUGUAACUAAGGGAGACAACUUGAAGAAACAAAAGAUAUGAAAGGCAAAGAAGAAAAUAAAUAGCACACAUACAGAUUCUGGAUGCAGCUCUAAUUGCAAAUGACGCAGCUGACUCAAGGGAGAGAAGCUCUAGGGCUGGUUUAGUUUGCAAGUUGGACAUAUGUACUUUGGUGUGCCCCUUUUGGCAUUUUAAUACAAUUUGCACUUACCUAUCAAAAAAAAAAAAAAGUUUGCAAUUUGGACAUAGAAAAGGCUUAUGACCAUGUUGAUUGGAAUUUUCUCCUCCCAGUAACGAAAAAGAUGGAGUUUGGUCUAAAAUCGAGAAAGUGGAUUCAUUUUUCCAUUGUAAGGAUGUCAAUCUUAGUCAAUGUUUCUCCUUCAGAUUUCUUUCAGACAUCUAGAGGAUUGUGGCAGGGUGAUCCUCUCUCACCCUAUCUCUUCAUGAUUGUCAUGGAAGCUCUACAUUGUAUACUCUCAAGGGCUGACUAGGGAGUGUUCAUUCAUGGCUUCAAGGUCAGGGGCAGAAGGGGUGAAGGUUUCCAAGUAUUCCAUCUCCUGUUUAAGGAUGAUAGAAAAAUUUGGAUCAACUAAGAUACUGGAGGUGGAUUGUAAUAGGCUUCAAGGUUGUGUUAGGUCUGAAAAUAAACCUGUAAAAAAGUAACUCAUUCUAAUGGGGAAAGUGGAGGAUGUGGUGAGAUCAUCAUCUUUGCUUGGGUGUAAGAUUGGAAGGCUUCCCACUUCUUAUCAUGGUUUGCCCUUUGGAGUGCUUCAUAAGUAUUGCGUUGUAUGGGAUGCUGUCAAGGAAAUGUUUGGUAAAAGAUUGGCUUCUUGGAAGGUGUGGUAUUUGUCAAAAAGAGGAAGAUUAGUUCUUUCAAAGAGCACUUUCUCAAGCUUAUCAAUCUAUUUUAUGGCCUUUUUUUCUAUUUCCAGGAAAGUGAGGAUCAAAUCAUAAAGGAUUCAGAGAGACUUUUUGUAAGGAAAUCUUUGGUAAACCAAUAAGAUGCAUUNNNNNNNNNNNNNNNNNNNNNNNNNNNNNNNNNNNNNNNNNNNNNNNNNNNNNNNNNNNNNNNNNNNNNNNNNNNNNNNNNNNNNNNNNNNNNNNNNNNNAGGAAGAACAUCCAAAGAAAGUGCAGGGAACUGGUCAAGGGGUGGAACAUUUGUGAGGUGAGGGAGACUUCUGGUAUAAGCCUAUGGAAAGACUUAAGAAAAGGUUGGGAGGAAUUCAACCACAGGAUAGCUAUCCAAAUUAAAAAUGGUAGCCAGACAAAAUUUUAGAGGGAUGGGUGGGUGGGUGGGGGGGAACUGUUUGAAAGAAGCAUUUCCUCUAUUGUUUAGUCUAGCUUCUCAAAAGAAUGCCAUUGUUGCAAACAUGUGGGAUGGGAGAGGUAGUGGAGGCCAGUGGGUGCAUUUCAAAAGGCCAUUCCAAGAUUGGGAAAUGGAGGGGGUGUCCUAAUUUUUAGAACUUAUUUAUUCAUACAGCAAAAGUGCAAGAAGAAGGGAAAGAUAUCUUAGUUUGGAAGGAGGAUAGGAAGAGAAUCUUCAGUACUAAGUUGUACUACAGUUCAUUGUGUGCCGAAUUUAGAGUGGACUUCCCAACCAAAGAAAUUUGGGGGCUCCCAAGCUCUUACGAGAUCAUGUUUUCUCACUUGGGAAACAGUAUGGGAGAAGAUCUCAACCAUAGAUUUGUUAAUGAAGAGGGAUGGACAAUGUUAAUAGAUAUAGUCUUUGCAAAGAGAGUGAUGAGUCUGCUGAUCAAAUUUUCAUUCACUGUGCAAUGACAAAGGUAUUAUAGAUGUUUGUUUUAUCAAUUUUUAGUUAGAAAUAAGUUUCUAGCUACAGUGAGGAAUAUGCUUCUCAAGUGGAAGUUUUUAAGGUAUUGGACAAGAAGAGUCACCAUCUUUGACAAAUGACACCCCUCUGCUUAUUCUGGUGUAUAUGGAAAGAGGGAAACCAUAAAAUCUUUAAUGGGGAAGAGCUUGCAUAUUAGAGAUUAAAAGAGAGCUUUAUUAAAUCCCUCUUUGAUUGGUCCAAAGUUCUGUUAGAAAUGGGCAAUUCUGAAUGAUGGCUUUCGUAAAUGGUCUUAGUUGUGGAUAGUUUGGUUUUGAGUUGAGGUUGUUUUUUUAUUCGUUGUUUUGUUUUUUUUGUGUUUACUCCCAGUAUAUGUAAGGUAUGCCCCCUUUCAUUGGCAUGCUCUUUUAAUAUAUUAUCCUUUUGCUUAUCAAAAGAAAAAAAGAAAAAAGAAAAAAGAAAAAUAAAGAGAACACAUAAAUCAGGGGAAGGAUGAAGGAAUUAAACCAAUAGGAAUGAGAAACAGUUGGGUAUAUUUUUUCGACAGAUACUUCAUGCAGCAGGGGCAAGAUGGGGGAAAACCUUACCACUCCUGGUGCCAUAAAUGUGGCAUAUAUGCAUCGUGUUCUAACUCCACACCUAGUACUAUAAUUUUCACAGAAGACGAUCACCCUUCCCCACCCAGCAAAUCUAAAAUCAAGUUGCAAAAUGAAUCUUCUAGACUGCUUUCGGAUUUCUCCUAAACAUCAAAAUAAACAAAUGAUAGGCAUACUGUUCCAUAGAAGUCUUACUUGCAAAACAAGAUCCACAUAAGUAGGGGGCGAUGCAUUACAACGGUUACAGCAACAGGAAAACCAAUACUUCACCCAUAACUCUGCAUGUCUAAUUUCCUGGAAAAUCAAAUCAGUGCAAAUAAAAGCGUAUAACGUGAACUCAAAAAACUAAAAAAAAAACAGAGUAUAGAAGGAUGAGUUGGAACACAUUUUAGCACAAUGCCACUGAGUUCACUUACACUAUGGUGAUUAUGCAAGUAAUAUAAAAUCAUGCAACUUCUCAUUAGGUCGACUCCUUGUCAUUUUUCGCAAUCACUUCAAACAUAAGGCACAAUGCAAUAAUCUAAAAGCUUAAAAGUAAUAGCAGAUAUGCCAAAUUUACAAGCACAUUUUGCACAUUCAAUCUCUUAACAGUGGAACUGUAGAUACUGAAAAUGAAGAUUACCUUAGGCUGCAACAGGUCUAUGUAUGCAACCCACACCUCCUCACCCUUUUUAAUUGCCUUGAUGCUCCGAACGAUGAUUCUUGGCCCGUGUAUGUUGCAUCCUUUACUAGAGAAAAUCAAUUACAAGUAGAUAAUCAAAAUAUCCAAUAAAUUCACAACUGAUUUUUUUGAGAAACCAAAUUGAAAAAAACAUAAAAUAAUUAAAAUAAAAAAGAUUCAAUCACCUUCUAUUGAUUCACUUUUGCUACGAACAGCAUUCUGUAUCUGAAAAACAUUUCGGUUUCAUAAUUUUCAAAUCCUUUGAAUAUGGUUAAAAUUAAAGAAACAAUUCAGAAUUUAGGAAUAGUGAUCUAUUUUUCUUUACUUCAAUUUCAUCAUUGCCUCCAGGGAUAAUCUGGAGCCUCGACUCGCCAGAAAACUGGGGCGUCUCAGGUGAACGGAGCAAGAAACGGUAACAAGCAUUGGGAGAACAGCUGUGAUUGAUCCAAGAGAAGCACCAAUCGUAGACGGCUAUCCCUAGGGCGGACCCUCCAUUAACCUGCACUUCAACUGCAUUGGUGAGGACCAGGCAGAGCAGGGCCUCCUCCAGUUUGGAGUCCCCGGAGAAUUCCGUACCAUCUCGCAUACAUCGGGCAACGGCCAUGGCCUUGCCGCCGUCUCGGAUUCUCGUCAGAGUCUCAUCACUUUCCGAGUUGUGGGAGGGUGAGAUGAGGUGGUGGAGGUUGGUGAGUAGGCCGCAGAUUCGAUGGAGCGGUUGGGUAUGGAGGGGAGGGAGGUGGAGGAUGUGGAGGAGGCGGAGGGCAGCACGGAGGUCGGAGGAGUGAGCGGUGGAGGGGUGGGAAUGGCGGAGGAGGAGGAAGAGGUGGUGCUCGGCGCUGGAGAAGUGGAG
rnacentral:lncRNA from 1 species